rnacentral:rRNA from 1 species
UACGUAGGGGCAAGCGUUGUCCGGAUUUAUUGGGCGUAAAGAGCGUGUAGGCGGCCAGACAAGUCUGCUGUGAAAACUCGAGGCUCAACCUCGAGCUGUCGGUGGAAACUGUCUGGCUAGAGUCCGGAAGAGGAGAGUGGAAUUCCGUGGUGUAAGCGGUGAAAUGCGUAGAUAUCGGGAGGAACACCUGUCGGCGAAAGCGGCUCACUGGACCAUAACUGACGCUGAUGCACGAAAGCUGGGGGAGCAAACAGG